ensembl:snoRNA SNORD18 Small nucleolar RNA SNORD18
CAUCAAUGAUGAGCUUUCACUUCAGGUCCGUGUUUUUGAAUCCAUGUGAUAUCCACCGAAGUUCUGAGUUU